UCCUUAGGGUUCUUCAUACCAAAUCUUAUGUUCUCUGAGAACUAGACGUCCAACGGGCCGGACGGAUAGACACGGAUGACAUGAAAGCAGCUCGAUAGGAAUACAAUGUUCCAAUGUUGAUAUCUCUUUUACUUGAUCUGAAAAACGAUCAUUUUAUUGAGAGAAUUUAGCGAAAGAAUACGUGGAAGAAAGGCUUCCGUAUGAAAGACGGCUAUGCUUAAGCUUCAACCGGAGCAUUGUUUCUACAUCCCCAUCUACAGUUGCAUCCGAAAAUAUUACAAGGACCAUGGCCGCAAUAAAAUCCUACAACUCGUGUUCCGUCGCGGCAGUAUCCUUCAUAUGCAGGACAGCACAUUGCCGUCGAACCUCUGAUGAAAAAUAGGGCCAAUAAUAUUCGUGCAUAUGCCACAUACAUGCUUUGAAGCACUCUCCAGUUUGGAUGACUGGCUGACUCCCGAAAUUCGCUUCAGAACUCGCUAAUCGCAAUUUCACAAUUCCGAAACCAUAACGAUCCCCAUAAUGAUUCAAGGCCAAGCGCUUGAAUAUCAUUCCCAGUGUAUUCUGAGCUGUAGACUACGAAAUUGUUCCCAGUGCUCGUGAGAGAGUGCGUAAGGAGAGACGACUCGCUCAGAGAGGAUCAAAAGGGACAAACAGAAGAGAGCGUGAUGCAAUGUGCGUGGCAAUUGAUCUUGGAU
rnacentral:sRNA from 1 species